GAGCGAGAACAGCCCGGCAGGUCCCGAGGCGCCGGCUGGGGACUCUACGCGGAAAGUUCCCAGUCCCCAGCCGCAGGUAAUGGGGAGGGAAUUGAGAGGUUCCCCUGUUUACAUCAGCAAUUGUGAAAGCAUGAUAGCAACAGCUGCGGUAUCCUCUCCCAGGAGCGGGAUUUCCAGUGAUGCUAACAUUCUUUUUCCUUUAAGGUAUUUUCCCUGCCACUGAUCAUGGAAAGAAAUCUUCGAGAAGGGGAAAAAGUUGCACACGGGCCACCGAUCGGCAGGGAUCACCUCAUUAAGGGACUCUAAGCGAGGUUGGCAGGGGGACAUUUAAAAAGUAGAUCGAAUGUGACAUGUGUCAAUCAAUCUAAGCGUGAGGCUCGGGGGUCCGUGUGGAGAGGAGCGAAGCGUGGGAGCCGGGGCCGGGGUGGGUCCUCCAAAGCGGAGGGAUUCACGCGAGGGACUGGGCUGGAGGAGCCCGAGACGUGCAGACGCCUUAGACGUGCCUCUGCCCUCCCUGAAAGCACGGCCACGUACCCGCGGACGAACUGAGCUGGGCACCUGGCUUCUAGUUGUGAGCGCACUGAUCAAAGUUUCAUUUUCAUUUCUGCUUAGGACAGGAUGCGGGUCGCCCUCCCGGGUGCCAGCAGCACCGGGCCUUGCGAGGCGCUUCCGAUAUCCCUGCGCCUGGUCUGGCCCAGAGCCACGCAGCGGAGGGGAGCGGGCGCUGUUUUCGGCUUUUCCCCCUGACCUUUGGAGCUCUCUCCCCGCCGCGCCCCGCCCCGCCCCGCCCCGGGAUAGACGAGGGCCCAGCGCUGGCGGCGCCGAGCCGGGAACACAAGCGGAGCCCCGAGUGUGCACCGCUGCGGGUAUCUGCCAGCACGUUUGCACGUUUGCACAUUGCAGUUCCUGUGUCCCCCCUCCUGUUCCCCGGCCUCUGGAUCGGCGUGCGCCCCGGCGGAGCCGCCCGGGUGCCUAAGGAAGCGCUUGGCUAGCUCGUGCCCACUCGCGACGCGCGGGGCCGAGCGGGGCCACGCGGCGCAUCCGCGCAGCCAGUGCCUGUGAAGUUAAAACAGCCCGAACUCUUAGUGCCCGAGAGUGGAUUGCAUGCCAAUUCUCCAAGGCAAGAUCCCUAAAUACAUAUAUUUACAGUAACUCAUGGUCUGGUCGCAAGGAACACGUUGUUUAUUCACUGAAACAGCACGAGUUCAGUGUCCUUACGCUACAGGAUACAGGAUAGGAAGGUUCCCUAGCGGCGUCCCUGUAAUGAAUGAUCCAAGAGUAACACCACCACAACCUGCGAGGAAGGCACAGUGGUUUCGGCACAGAGGUUUGUGCCCGUCCCUUCAGUCCGGGAAUUCCGAAGCGCCGGUGUCCACCGGCGUGACCGUGGAUCGGGGCGUGCUCCUGCGAGUCCGGCGAGUUCGUGUCCACCGCCUGGCCGCCCGCCCCAGAAACCUGGCUCCGGGAGAUGGGUCCUGCCUUCCAGUGGGCAGAAGGAAAGGAUGCCAGCAAAAAUGGCUAAUCCUCUUCCAGCUGCAGUAAAUUGACGACUGGCCAAAGCCAAGCGAAACCCGCUGCAGUUAAAAAGAUUUUAGCUUCACGUCUGGGGCUGAGAAUGGAGCGGCAGUAUAUAAAACGACCUGUGGAUCAAUGGAAAGGAGAUCGUAGUGUCUCCGAAUAUUAAUACGGUAUUGCAUCUUUAUUUCCCUCCCCUUCCCCCUUUUUCUUCAGAUCUGCAGGGUGGCAAUGAAAUGUUUUGAGGUCUUCAAGCUGACUCAUCAGAAUCACGGAGCCGUGUAAAAAUGACGGUAAUUUUCCGAUAUGUUCGUCUGUACGUGUGGAAACACUUGUGUGCGCGCGCCUGUUUACGUGUGAGAGACAUGCGGCUGAAUGACAAUGCAGAUCCAGAAUUUGUUUGGGAAGGUGGGUUUCCACAAGGGAACCGUACCCAGAGUUUUAGCCGAUGUAGGGCGUCUGCUGACUGCCAGAGAGCUUUCAGAAGAGGGAGAUGAGAAUGUGGAGAGAUGGCCAGAUUUUCCUGUAAAUAAUCACUACCUCCACUGUAACACUUGAACUGCAUUUUUUUCUAUAUAGCAGAUGUGUUUGGUAACUCUCCCCUCAAACGUGGGUCACAGGCGCCUCCUAGCGGCGAAAGCAGCAUAAAGCAAGCCGGGUAAUUUUGCUUUCUCCUCGGGCAGGGCUCGCCUGUUGGGGGCUCUGCUGGAUUUCUUGGAUCACCAAAGCCUGUGUCCGCGCUAGGGAAGCCAGGCCAGGGCCUCCAAAGGCCUCCCUUCUCCGACUUUUACUGUUUCUGGUGGUGACAGCGGAAACAGAGGGGAUAACGGUGGGGUCUUCACAGAAUAGAUCCCAGCCCAACCUCCCCCAGUACAGAGUGAGAGGCAUUCCAUCGAGGGACCAUUGCAAAAGUCUUUUGUUUGAAGCCAAGAUUUAGAUACAGACAUUAGCAGCCAUCUCUGCCUCCCGUACCCGUGAACCAUUAACAUAAACCUGCCCUGUCACACACAGGCCAAAACACUUUAAAAUUGCCUUUUAAAAAUACUUUUAAAACACAGCAGGUUUACAUUCUCUCUGGCUGUGGUACACAGUAGAUCCUUCCCACUUGGUUUUUCUUUCUUUCUUUUUUUCUUUUUUUUUUUUUUUUCUCCCACUGCCCUUUGACCUGAGAAUUUUGAAUUCUUAAUGGCAUGUACUCCAGCCUGAGCGUGUAGGUCAAUGAGAUGUCUGAAUGAGUAGAGUGUCACAUAUAUCCUGCGUUCACUUUUGGACUCCACAUUACUGGAGUGGGAAGGGAGAAGUAAACAUAGUGCACGUAAUCCUUCCCUCCCACAGCCUUGAUCCCAGGAGCACCAAAGUCAACAAACUGCAUAAAGGGUAAAAAGGGUAAAAGGGUAAAAAGAAUUCUGUAUUGUGUGGAGAAAGAUUAUAAAAAUCUGUUUUCAUAUAAGUUGUGGUUUAUAUGUGAGAGUGAUAAUGUACAAUUCAUCUAUUUUAUUGGGUUCUAACUGCAGCAGAAGUAAGGGGACAUUAAGGUUCUUCCAGAGCAGUUAACAAACUUUGAAACUAGGUUGUGGGGUUGUUCUCUUCUCUGUACUUUGCUGAAAAGGGCGGAAGGGAAACAAGUGUGUUAACUAGCGUGUGAGUAAAUGAGUGUUUGCAGUGAUUUAACAUGACUCAAAAGCAAUUUGUUUCUAAAUCCUCUUAUUAUUACCAUGUGCCCAGAGCUUUGAGAGAAUAAGCCCCCCCCUUUUAAAGAAUCAGAAGACAAGAUUUUAAUUUAUUAAAAAGAAGCAUUUCACACUCCAGCCUGGACCAGAAUUGAGCUAGAUGGGGCACUUUUCAUUUCCAGUAAGGAUAGCUUGAAGUUCAAAUGCAAAAGACCAAGACUGAGUUGUGUCUCUUUUUUUUUUCAUUUUUUCAUUUUUUCAUUUUUUUUAUUAUAUUUUUUUCUGAGUUGUGUCUCUUAUGCGUGACCAUGAAAUAGGUUUAUUUGCAGUGAUGUAACCCAGCUUAACUGCAGAAGAGGGAAAGCUUUGCAGCCAAGGCCACAAAGCCAGUGUGUUAGCUUUUGUUCAUCUGCAGUAAGAGUGAAUAAUAACUAAAAUUUCUGGGAAAGAUUUAUAACAUAUGCUCUUGUAAGUAUUCAGGAAACUCUAGUGACUGUUACAAUGUUUUGAAUCCCAUGAAGAACAAACCAUUCCUUCUUGGAACUGAGAAUACUAGAUAUUCCAUUAAGUACAAUUAUCUUGAUAUUCAAAGUAGAAAUUAUUCAGAGCAGAAAAGUGCUUCUCCAUUUUGUUUAACCUAGUUAAUAUUGGUGUGGCUUCACAUUUCAGUGUCUUCCCAGUUAUCAAACAGGGCCAGCAUUUUGUUAAACUCUAAACAGUGAAUUAAAAGCACUGAAUGAGCUGAUGCAGCCCUCUAAUGCAAAAUGACAAAUUGCACUUAAGCAAUACAUGAACAAGAAAAUGAUUUAUGGAUUUUUACAAUGGCCUGCACAAAUGAAAGCAACAUGAAUUAUACAUCCUAAUGCUCACGAUAUAAUUUUCUAACAAUACUGUUUCAGUUCAGAUACCAUAUUCCUUUCUAUAACAGAAAUUGACCAAUAAAAGGUCCAGAAAUAUUUGGAAAGCACUCAAUGGCUUUGAUGCAUGUAUGUGAUAUAUAUGUGUAUUUAUAUAAGUAUUACAGAUAUGCAUAUACAUGUAUAUGUCUCCCUGGGUAUUGGGGUGUAGUGAGUAAUUAAUAUUGAACACAUACUCUUGGCAGAUCCUUUACAUAUCAUAUUUUUGUAGUAAGUUGUCUUUUGCAAACUUAGGUUGUUCUAUACUGUCUUUCAGAAUGCAAAUAGAUAAAUCUGACAUACAAUGACAAUCUUUAUUGCCUCCUGACCUCUUCUGCUGAAAAUCACAAUGCAUUACCUCAUCUUACCCAUUUCUUCCAUUGCUUUGAAUGUUGAAAAAUCUUAUUUUUUAAAAAUGCCUCUUAAAAACUCUUCAUAUUUCUUUUUAUCCCUUUCAGAACAUUGUUUUAUUCCUUAGUGUAAUAAAGAUGCACUUAGCUUAAUAAAAAGUUUGUACACCUUCUUUUCUUCCUCUUUGUUUCCAUUUCUUAAAAUCUUUUUUACCUUUAGUAGACAAAAUAUACCCUAUUGGGUAUCUUGAAUUACAGAAGACAAAAGUCAGUCAGAUAAAACUUACGUGAUACCUGUGUUUUAAGUUGGAAAAAUACAAAAAUUUAGUUACUUCUAAGUUAUGAGGAGCACUGCAAACAUUUUCAUGUAGCCAUUCGUAGCUUGUACAGUGGAUGUUUUUCAGAUAUGUCUAAUUUUACCUAAGUGAAGGUAGUGCCUUUGCUGUGGUGCACAUUCAACCACAGGAAGCUGCUAAUCACCCAGAGGCCUCUAGAGUCACAUUAUUAGGCUUAAUCUUAAUUAUCCAGUUUUAUAAAAAGAAAAAGAAAAAAAGUGAAUCCCAGUUUCAGCUUUUGACAGCAUUAAUAACCACUCUUACUGAAAGAUUACUGAAAUCAAUGAUGUGAUUAGGAUUGUAAAUAAGAACUACAAGACAUCAUAUUUAAAAAAGCCAGCUGCUUUGCUAACAGGGAGAUGUGUAGGUUUUACUGAUGGAGCCCAGAGACAGAAAAUGAAGCUUCAAAUAUAGAGGUCGAUAUAGAACAAUUUCAAAAAUUAAUUACAAGUCCUGAUUAACUUUAUAUGAGUAAGGAGUUGUCCAGAAAGAACUCUUUUUUGUUGUUGUUGCCCUUCCCCAGUGGUUUGAUACCUAUUUGACAGUUAUCCAAAGCCAUCAUAGUACUAGUGUUUUUCUGGUAAGUGUAAAUUGUUUUCUUAAGGGAAACUCCUUGCUUUUCUAAAUACAGAAUGAGAUUACCCAAAUCAUAAUUGAGGUUACAAGCCAUAAAGCUGUAUUCUAAAGAGUUUAAAAAUAUUAUUGGAGACAAACACUGUGGAAAGAAUGUCAAUCAUAGCUUGAAAAUUCCAUUAAUAAUUAGAAUUAAAUUAGAAUUACAAUAGAAAACCACAACAAACAAUAAAUAGGUCCUCAAAGAAUCACUCCUAUUUUCAUUGCUCAAAUAUAUAAUGCUUUGUAUAAGGAACUUGAUUUUCAUAUUUUAUAUAAGUGAUCUUGUAAUACCAUAGUAUAAAUGUUUUAUUUUAUUGUAUUUUUUAGGUGAAAGUAACUGGUAGUUUUAAACUCUUGUGUGUCAAGAAUUCUUUCAUAAUAUUUGAUCCUCCCGAUCUCUACAAAUGUUAUUUCAACCCUAUAGAUAAGGCCACAAAUGAUUUUUUGAAUGAAAGUAACUCAUCAGACUCAUACAGAAUCAAACCCAAGUCUUUUGAUAUUCCUGUCCAGAUUCAUUUUAUUACACCUUGAUGUUUCUUCAGUCUAUCUGAAUGGACAGUGAAUUAAUUUAGACAUGUGGUUCAUCCACAUUUUGGACUGACAGGAGUACUGAUUUUGUUAUCAUAAAAAUUGGCUAGUACAUCAUUGAGUUGUGUCAUGGAGGAAUUUAUAAACAUGUUUCACGUUGGAAGUUUUUUUUUUUUUUUGAGGUUAUUAUCAGGAGACUGAAGCUUGAAUAUGUUCUCUUAUAAGAGAAUGAGACUAUAAGCAGUCAUCUCUUUUUUUUGGUGCAGAAGUGCCUGAAAUGGGAAGUAGAAAUUUUAAUGAAAGAACAAGGAAACUGAUAAGACAAACAUGUGCAAAAGAAAGGUAGUUCUGUUUCAUCCAUCCUGAAAACCACCUAGCUGAACAGAGGUAUCAAAAGUAAUUCCUAUGUUCUCUUAGUUUAUCAGGGGUUAAAAGCAAGGGAAAGCAAGAAGUGUUCCCACUUUAACCAAUGCAAGUGCUGGUGCUUAUUUUCUGUACAUUUCUAAACUGGCCUUUAAAAGCUGAAACAUGUAAGUGAAAUCCAAGUAUCAUUUUAUAUUAAUUUCUUCUUCAAUCUUGUGUUAAAGAAAAUGUUUUAACUAGAAAGUUUUAAAAUUUAAACUCAUUUAUUUGAGAUUUUCAAAAAUUUUAAAAAGUUAAAUUUAUUUGUCACAGCAUAAAAAUGGAACACAACAACAGAAUUAAUUUGAAAUUUGGGAAGAAAUAAUCACAUGAACAUGAAAAUGAUAUCAUAAUUACUCGGAUCAAACUCGGGACCUUGUGCUUGCAAGGCAGGCGGCAGAACCACUGAGCUAAAUCCCCGGCCCAUGGACCUUUGCUUAAAAUAAUUUCUGAAAAUUUGAAUCCCCUGUUGAACUUUUCUGACAGUGAAAAAAAGCACCCAAUCCAGAGUGGUACUUUAGUGGGAAUUUGGAAGAUCCUUUCAGAAGAUUUUCACGUGGUACUUUAAUUGUGCCUUGAUUAUUUCAUACAAAACCCAUUAGAGUUACAUGAUAGAUACAUCAGGAUGUGCCUAUGGAUUUGAAUAAGCAUAUCAUAACUCUGGCACACUAAUUUGCAUCGGUAUUUAAUCACAGCCAAAGCUUGUUUUAAUUUAGAUCCUGAAGUAGAUAAAAUUAGUGCAUAAAUUUUGAUCUAAG
ensembl:lncRNA